GACGAACGCUGGCGGCGUGCUUAACACAUGCAAGUCGAACGGAAAGGCCCUGCUUUUGUGGGGUGCUCGAGUGGCGAACGGGUGAGUAACACGUGAGUAACCUGCCCUUGACUUUGGGAUAACUUCAGGAAACUGGGGCUAAUACCGGAUAGGAGCUCCUGCUGCAUGGUGGGGGUUGGAAAGUUUCGGCGGUUGGGGAUGGACUCGCGGCUUAUCAGCUUGUUGGUGGGGUAGUGGCUUACCAAGGCUUUGACGGGUAGCCGGCCUGAGAGGGUGACCGGCCACAUUGGGACUGAGAUGCGGCCCAGACUCCUACGGGGGGCAGCAGUGGGGAAUAUUGCACAAUGGGCGGAAGCCUGAUGCAGCAACGCCGCGUGCGGGAUGACGGCCUUCGGGUUGUACACCGCUUUCGCCUGUGACGAAGCGUGAGUGACGGUAAUGGGUAAAGAAGCACCGGCUAACUACGU
rnacentral:rRNA from 1 species